AUGAAGACUUUCCUGCUCCUCUUUAUAUCACUGGCCUGCUUGUCAGGUGUCCAGUCUCAGCAACUUGUCCAGUCAUCAGACCCAGUGGUGAUAAAGCCCGGGAAUUCCUAUAGAGCCUCAUGUACGGCUUCUGGAUUCAACUUCAGUAGCUAUGGCAUGCACUGGGUUAGACAGAGUCCUGACAGAAGAUUUCAAUGGUUGGGUUGGAUAAGCCCUGAUGGAGGGACCACAGUCUAUCAUGAUUCUAUUAAAGGACAAUUCACAAUCUCCAGAGAUAACAGUAAUAACCUGUUAUAUCUACAAAUGACCAACAUGAAGACUGAGGACUCUGUCGUGUAUUACUGUGCUAGGGAUGCACACUGGUAA